GCAAGUGGGGUGAAGGAGCUGUGCCAGCAGAUGAGGGUUCUACAGUGGAAGCAGGAAGCAACACUCAAAGUUAAGCUCCCCUGGAAAGUACCACAGCCACCCUCAGCGACAGAGAAGUCUCAAGCUAUACCAACAAUGAAAACAGCCAAGUGAUACCAGGAAGCCAGCGAUACAAGCCUCUGCUGGAGAUUAAACAGCCCACUAUCUUCCCCUCUGGAGCCAGGAAACAGUAAAGACCUAAGCUCCCCCAAAGUGAACCGCAGCCAUUCGCAGCAGCACCAGGGUCCUGAGCUCCUCUGACCAUGAGAAUAGCGGAAUUUAUAUCAAGAACAAAGCUCAACAAGCUCGUCUAGGAGAACCCACGCCAACAGGAGAGCCAACAACGCCAGGAAGAACCAACACCACCCCCACUUCCUCUCCAGGGUUUGGACCUAGGACCUCACAUACGUUAGGUGAACUCUUUAAGACAGAGCUGUAUCUUCAGCAAAAGUUCCUGCUUAUCCAUGGGGAAUGCACCCGAAGAAUCCCAGGUACCUAUGUAUAGGAAAAGACAUGGGAACAUACACAGUUCAACACUGGCCACGCUUUCAGGCAUCUGAGGAACAUCUUCAAAAUUCUGCAAAUAAAAAUCUGCAAAACCAUUAGCAAAACCAUUCUGCGCCCCCAUUGCCUCUCUUUUUCUCAGAUUCUCCUUUGAAUCUGUAUCAACAUCUUACUGAUACCCUCAGUAAUCAGUGAGUUGAAUAAAAUCGUUAGCCCUCAUUAAUUUUUUGUAUGCACAGAAUUAUAUUUUUAUAUUUAAAAACAUUGUAGAGCUGAGACAGGGUUCAGUGGUAGAAUAUUUGCCUCGCAUAUAUGAGGCCUUCA